AUUGAACGCUGGCGGCAGGCUUAACACAUGCAAGUCGAACGGUAGCAGGAAGAAAGCUUGCUUUCUUUGCUGACGAGUGGCGGACGGGUGAGUAAUGCUUGGGAAUCUGGCUUAUGGAGGGGGAUAACUGUGGGAAACUGCAGCUAAUACCGCGUAUUCUCUGAGGAGGAAAGGGUGGGACCUUAGGGCCACCUGCCAUAAGAUGAGCCCAAGUGGGAUUAGGUAGUUGGUGGGGUAAAGGCCUACCAAGCCUGCGAUCUCUAGCUGGUCUGAGAGGAUGACCAGCCACACUGGAACUGAGACACGGUCCAGACUCCUACGGGAGGCAGCAGUGGGGAAUAUUGCGCAAUGGGGGGAACCCUGACGCAGCCAUGCCGCGUGAAUGAAGAAGGCCUUCGGGUUGUAAAGUUCUUUCGGUAAUGAGGAAGGGAUGUUGUUAAAUAGAUAGCAUCAUUGACGUUAAUUACAGAAGAAGCACCGGCUAACUCCGU
rnacentral:rRNA from 1 species